AAGCUUAGAACUAUUUCUUUUUGACACUUACUGCUUUGUAUUUUUUGAUAAAAUUGUCUCUUGUAUUAUUUAGCCUUAACUAAGCAGACUGGUAAUUUUCCAUACCACCUAGGACUAGGCUUUGAAAUAAGAUGGCUGAUGGAAGCAUUGUUUUAUUGUUUGCAGAUAUUGGCAAGGGAACAUGUUCACAGCAGUCCAUGCCCUCAGUCGAUGAAUGAUGUCAGCUCUGCGACCUUGAUGGAUGGCCAGCUAUUGGCACCUGAAUUAGAAAUUACCAGCACGCUGAGGGACAGUCCUGAAGUUGCCAGCCUGAUAGGUUUUGUUCAGUUGGAGCUCCGAAAUUGGGAUUUAAUGGAUAAAUUAAGUCAUAAUGCAGCCGCUUGUAUGAGGACAGGGGAGUCAUGUUAUUGACUGUGAAGGCAGAGAGUCUGUUGGGCAGAUCAGAGGUCGUCUAUCACAACCACUGUUUAUCCGCGUUGCAUAGCGACCAGUGCACUGGGAUUCGGCUCGCUUCGGCUCAACUCGAACCCCGCUCGGCACGUCACCGCCGCCUGGGUGGGAGUGGUGUCCUGCGUAGCGCGACAAGUAGUAACGAGAGCGCCACGUUACCGCCACGUGCUGCUGGUGAGGUAGGGGUCCUCCGUUGCGCAACAUGUCACAAUAUACACCCAUGGACCCAGCCUGUGGAGUGGGCAUAAUGAAAAGUAAGGGGAGUAUGGCUAGAAGUAGCAGGACAGUGGUUGCAGUUGCAUUGUGGGAUGGGGGAAGUGUGUUUCACUGUGACUAAGAUCUUGUUAUAAUGCAUACACACCCUGCAUUCCUUACCACAGUGGACCUGCCAGAAUCCACUGCAUGCUCCAUUGAGGGCAGGCAGGAAUAAAGGCACAGACAGUAUCUUGUAUGCAUUCUUUGAUUUGCAUCAACGGUCAGGAAAUAGUUGGCUACUAGCUGCAUGGAUUUGGUUUGUUUCUGGCAGGUGCACUUGAAUAUUUUUCUUUAUCACUAUGUCCAGGAUAACUGUGGUGUCACCAGACUGAAUCUGUGAAUCUUCAUGGUGUGUUCAAAUAGGAGAAUUCUUUCAUCUAAUUGUACUAUUUCAUAUCAUGUGGAAAUUCAUGCUGAUGUCACUGGAUUUACUGGGACACAUUCAAUGUACCCAAUCUUCAUAGAGAGGGCGAGUUUGAUAAACUGUCUCCAAAUUAUUCGUGCGUGUCCGUUUGUGUGUGAAUGGAAAUCCUGUAAUGACAAAGUGUGAUUUGAGGUUCUUACAGUGGUGACUGUGAGCACUUUUGACUUCGUGCGAUGUGAUACCAUGGGGUGAUGUAGAUUGUUACAGGUGUUUUGGUGUUCCUGCUGUCUCCAUUGUCAGAUUAGAAGAGUGCAGUAAGUGUGAAAAAAAUGGUACAGGCAUAAGGAGAGGGAGGAUCACUAUUCUUUACACUGUUUGGAUCAGUGGGAUCCUUAGUCUUGGCCAUUUUCUCUGUAUACAGGUAUAUGUACUGUUUGUUUGCACACAUGGCCUGCUCUUCUAUCCUGACUGUGGAGGAAGCAGGUCUCUCAGAAAUGGUGACGAUAUGCAAGACUGCACAGUGUUAUGUCCCAGAAGAAAGUAAUGUGGGAACAUCCCACAUUAUCACGCAUUCUGCAACGCUCGCUCUUCACAUCACUUUUCACCAUCGCGCGCGCUAACCAACCAGAUUGCUUCAAACGUUUAUAUUUAUAUUGGGAUCGCUGCUAGCAUGCAUCUACGUCAUUACGCACGCUAGCCAAUCAAUUCUUCCUCCUCACUUUCGAGUUUCGCUCCUCCCCACCGAGCAGUGUAUAAAAAGGAGCAGCUUCGAACCGCUAACAUCAGUCCGACUGCAGUCUACGAUCAAGCCACACAGCAAGCAACUUCAGCCAGCAGGCUUCGUCGCCAGCGCUCGG